CAUCUCAAAAUCUCCUAAAAAGCUGGCAUAUGCUAAACAUUCUAUGUAUUUUUUCAACUUUGGGGUAUACAUAGCUUAUUCAUAACGCGUCCAGAACUUAUGUCCAACAACAGCAUAACUUAUGCAUUACACAUGGCUGUCAAGAUCUGCCCUCAUAUCUCACCUAAAUUACUCAUGCCUUUCAUCUGCUUAACUCUGUCCAGCUCCUAAUUACGAUUCAUCUCAUCCACCUGCCUGUUUCCCUUAUAUUCGGCUCAGUUCCAGCUAUUCUGACCCGAUCAUUGUUUGAUGUUUGUUUGAUGUCUGUUUGUUUGUUUAGGCCCGUUAAUUUGUCUGUUUUGUUAAUUAUGCUUCAUGUCCUAGUUCCUGGCAGCCAGCGGAGUGAGAGGUUUCAGUGUUUGUUUAGCGUUUCUUUUCCUCUGAUAGUGUCCUGAUCCUCAGGGUUUUGGCUCGGAACGCGGAAAGGUCAGUUUUAAUCUCGUUGGCCUGGCUACUAGGAGGAGCCCAGUUUAAAGUCCAGCUGAAAUCCUGGAUCCACAUCUAAUCUCUGUCUGCUUCCCUCUACCACUGAGCCUGCCAUGUGUAUCUGAACCUGCCUGUCUGCUUCUGUUGGUGUCUGCGGGGGCACACUUCUGCACCAGUCUCUGGACUCUGAACCUGCCUGAAAGCUCUGUGGAUUCCUGGAAGUCUGGAUCGUGCUGUUCCUGUUUUGGUGGAAAACUGAUAGAGGGGAGGUUUUUUGGAUUCCUGAACUGUUUCUGCCUGCUCUGUUGUCCCCUGACCUGUAUCGGCUUUCUGGAACUUCUCCAGGGCUGCAACAUCAGAGACACUUUGGGCGACACAUGCCACACGUCUGGUUUUCAGCCCAUCGGCUGGAUUGCACCCCUUUCUAGGGAGAUGGACUGACCUGUGAAACCAGAGAGUGUCAGUGAUUGGGCAGUGCCCCGUCCCCCUCCUGCAGCCCCAGCGAGCUGCGGAUCCACAGCAGCGGGCUUCUGUUCUGUCUCUGUUUUUAUUUCAAUACAUUUUUUGAACUUUCCUACUGACCCACUUCAUGACAGAAUGAUCCGACCCACUUCAUGACAACAGCAGUUAAAGCUGCUCCCCUCAGGAUCAAAAAGUGAUCCAUGACUGCAGAAAAGCAGCACACUGGUUGGAAGAAAACCAAAGUCUCUUCAGCAGCAAGGUGGAUUUACCUGACAUUUUGAUGAUGGGGGAGGAAAAUGUGGCUGAAGCAGUCAAGCUAUUCAAACAAAUGUGUGAAGUAGAUGACUUCACCAUUGAUGAGCAUGAGAGGGAGAUGGUUUUAGAACCUUUCAAGUUUGUUUUUGAAAAGAUUGAAGACGUGGCAGUUUUUGGAGGAGCUGGCCGAUCGUCAGAAUCUUCUCCUGUACUGUGAGUGUAGAUUGUGAAUAAAGGACUUAAAGAUG